GCCUAAACGUAAUGACCACAACCAUUAUUAUUACCGACACGACACGCGUUGGGGCAGGCUGCUAAGCGUAAGAAAUUCAAAAAAAGGCCUGUAUCCCAAAUGGAACAGGCCUUUUUUUA
rfam:Vibrio panuliri strain CAIM 703 CAIM703_8, whole genome shotgun sequence.